rnacentral:rRNA from 1 species
UACAGAGACUGCAAGCGUUAUUCGGAUUCACUGGGCGUAAAGGGUGCGCAGGCGGUUGGGUGUGUCAGAUGUGAAAUCCCGAGGCUUAACCUCGGAACUGCGUCUGAAACUACUCGACUAGAGUGCUGGAGAGGGUAACGGAAUUCACGGUGUAGCAGUGAAAUGCGUAGAUAUCGUGAGGAACACCAGAGGCGAAGGCGGUUACCUGGACAGUUACUGACGCUCAGGCACGAAAGCAUGGGGAGCAAAAGGG